GACGAACGCUGGCGGCGUGCUUAACACAUGCAAGUCGAACGGAAAGGCCCUGCUUUUGUGGGGUGCUCGAGUGGCGAACGGGUGAGUAACACGUGAGUAACCUGCCCUUGACUUUGGGAUAACUUCAGGAAACUGGGGCUAAUACCGGAUAGGAGCUCCUGCUGCAUGGUGGGGGUUGGAAAGUUUCGGCGGUUGGGGAUGGACUCGCGGCUUAUCAGCUUGUUGGUGGGGUAGUGGCUUACCAAGGCUUUGACGGGUAGCCGGCCUGAGAGGGUGACCGGCCACAUUGGGACUGAGAUACGGCCCAGACUCCUACGGGAGGCAGCAGUGGGGAAUAUUGCACAAAUGGGCGGAAGCCUGAUGCAGCAACGCCGCGUGCGGGAUGACGGCCUUCGGGUUGUAAACCGCUUUCGCCUGUGACGAAGCGUGAGUGACGGUAAUGGGUAAAGAAGCACCGGCUAACUACGUG
rnacentral:rRNA from 1 species